AUCGUUCAACUCACUAAGAGUCGGAAGUACCCAUUAUAGGGGAAGGAACGCACU
ncrna:unclassified sequences Glutamine riboswitch